AAUCAGAAUAUGCGAAAAGCAGAAAUUCUGAAAACAGAAAAGCACUUUACAACAUAGCCUUCAACCAGAAGUAAAAAUAUGAAAACUGGAGAGAGGCACAGGUGAAGAAUAGGAAAGGCAGUCUUAAGAUGGCAGCCUGCCUCAAACUAGCCCCCACUAAAAGCUCCUCAAAAGAGAAGAUGUCAGUCCCAGGUGGACACACAUCCAAGAACACAUGCAUGACUGUCACAGCCUUAGAAAGACUAUGACAACUGGAAUAACAACUAGAUAGUGACAUGAAGCCCUAACUGCGAACUUCACAGAGCUCCAGAUGACCUGGGGUGGUUUUGUACAACAGCAUGAUAGCGGACCAGUGAAGGAAGACUGCUUUCUGGAGAGAUGAGAAGCAAGGAGUGUUCAUUAGGUGCUCACAAACAUCUGACAGUGAGAAGGAGGAAAGCUGGAAAAGUAAGUAGGACAAACAAAAGAGUUGUUAUUAAAAAAGAGGAGAGGGCUUCCCUGGUGGCGCA